rnacentral:rRNA from 1 species
UACGGAGGGUGCAAGCGUUAAUCGGAAUUACUGGGCGUAAAGCGCGCGUAGGUGGUUCAGUAAGUUGGAAGUGAAAUCCCCGGGCUCAACCUGGGAACUGCCUUUGUGACUGCAAGGCUAGAGUACGGCAGAGGGGGGUGGAAUUCCGCGUGUAGCAGUGAAAUGCGUAGAUAUGCGGAGGAACACCGAUGGCGAAGGCAAUCCCCUGGACCUGUACUGACGCUCAUGCACGAAAGCGUGGGGAGCAAACAGG